GACUCCGGUUGAUCCUGCCGGACCUCACUGCUAUCGGGGGGAGACUAAGCCAUGCAAGUCUAGGCCCAUAGCCACCUGUGGGCCUGGCGUACGGCUCAGUAACACGUGGCCAACCUACCCUGAGGAGGCGGAUAACACCGGGAAACUGGUGCAUAAACCGCCAUAGGUGAGAGGAUCUGGAACGAUCUCUCGCCGAAAGAUGUACACGGGGAUGCCUGUGUACAUGCCUCAGGAUGGGGCUGCGGCCCAUCAGGUAGUUGGUGGGGUAACGGCCCACCAAGCCUAUAACGGGUACGGGCCCUGAGAGGGGGAGCCCGGAGAUGGACUCUGAGACAAGAGUCCAGGCCCUACGGGGCGCAGCAGGCGCGAAACCU
rnacentral:rRNA from 1 species